UCAACCGGAAGUGGCUCGUUUUGUCCUGGAUGUGGACGUUGUUUGCUGGACCUUGCGCUGCCUGGAGUUUCCUCCUCUCCGUGCUGUUACCAGCCUCGUAGUCGCGAGCGCGCCGGGUGUCGCAAGGUUCAGGCUUAACCUUCGGACUUUGUGCCAAAGUCUCGGGAGCGACUUGCCUAGAGCCUGGGGAGGGCACGGGCGGUGUGCAGGGGCAUUGCUCUCUGCGGCGCGUGCUUAUUAUUAGUUUUUGCUACUGUUGCACCGCAAGGGGGAAACGGAGUCACGGGAGCUGAUGGAAGUUACUCUGAACGCACCAAGGAUUUUUUUUUUUUUCUCCCAAUCUCCGGGUCCAGAAGAAAUCGGCAAGAGAGCCGGGGUUUUCCGGGGGCGUCAGCCUCGCUAACCCAAGCCUGCGGCCCAGCACUGUUUGUUGUAGACGAGAAGAGAAAGCUGCUCCGACCUGACCUCUGCAGCCCCGUCCUCAAGUGCUGCUUUAAAACUCAGUUUUUGUCAGCAGUUGGCCUUCAAGUCGGACAUAAGGCAUGGUUUAGUGGACGCCCAGUCCAGUGGAUACGAAGAUGCUCUUAGGGACUAAAGAGACACAUCGAUUUUUAGCCUGUUUUAAUUAAACCUAGAGAGAUUGUUAUAGUUUAGAAAAUUGUCAUUAAUGAUAAAAAUGUCCUUUGAACUACUCA